CAAGAGAAAAUCCGUUGUUUUAGCCGCUGCGCAGAAGAGCUGUGGAGAUGGCGGCAGGCAGCCGGAUACCAGAGUCUAU